CAGGCCUAACACAUGCAAGUCGAGGGGUAACAGGAAAGCUUGCUUUUGCUGACGACCGGCGCACGGGUGCGUAACGCGUAUGCAACCUACCUCAUACAGGAGAAUAGCCCUUGGAAACGAGGAUUAAUACUCCAUGGUAUCAUUCUUUCGCAUGUUAGAAUGAUUAAAGAAUUUCGGUAUGAGAUGGGCAUGCGUCCCAUUAGCUUGUUGGUGAGGUAACGGCUCACCAAGGCAACGAUGGGUAGGGGGCCUGAGAGGGUGGUCCCCCACACUGGUACUGAGACACGGACCAGACUCCUACGGGAGGCAGCAGUGAGGAAUAUUGGACAAUGGGGGCAACCCUGAUCCAGCCAUGCCGCGUGCAGGAAGACUGCCCUAUGGGUUGUAAACUGCUUUUAUACAGGAAGAAACUGCGCUACGUGUAGCGUACUGACGGUACUGUAAGAAUAAGGAUCGGCUAACUCCGUGCCAGCAGCCGCGGUAAUACGGAGGAUCCAAGCGUUAUCCGGAAUCAUUGGGUUUAAAGGGUCCGUAGGUGGUCUAUUAAGUCAGAGGUGAAAGCCUAUCGCUCAACAGUAGAACUGCCUUUGAUACUGAUGGACUUGAGUUAUUGUGAAGUAGUUAGAAUAUGUAGUGUAGCGGUGAAAUG
rnacentral:rRNA from 1 species